CCUACGGGCGGCAGCAGUGGGGAAUAUUGGACAAUGGGGGCAACCCUGAUCCAGCCAUGCCGCGUGUGUGAAGAAGGCCCUCGGGUUGUAAAGCACUUUCAGUGAGGAAGAACGCCUGGUGGUUAAUACCCAUCAGGAAAGACAUCACUCACAGAAGAAGCACCGGCUAACGCCGUGCCAGCAGCCGCGGUAAUACGGAGGGUGCGAGCGUUAGUCGGAAUUACUGGGCGUAAAGCGCGCGUAGGUGGCUUGAUAAGCCGGUUGUGAAAGCCCCGGGCUCAACCUGGGAACGGCAUCCGGAACUGUCAAGCUAGAGUGCAGGAGAGGAAGGUAGAAUUCCCGGUGUAGCGGUGAAAUGCGUAGAGAUCGGGAGGAAUACCAGUGGCGAAGGCGGCCUUCUGGACUGACACUGACACUGAGGUGCGAGAGCGUGGGUAGCAAACAGGAUUAGAUACCCUUGUAGUC
rnacentral:rRNA from 1 species